GCGGACCCUCCACCGCACAGCCGGAUGUCCACGCGGUCCCGGGGACAGAACUCCCGGCGCAGAGCCACCCCCGAGCCAGAGGAGGCUGGAGGUAGAGGUGGGAAGAGGCCCAAGGCGUCUGGAGCUGUUGCAGCACCCCAGGCAGCUGACGGGCUGGGGGCCAAGGUGAAGCUGGAGGAGAAACAGCAGCAUCCGUGUCAGAAGUGCCCUCGGGUCUUCAACAACCGCUGGUACCUAGAGAAGCAUAUGAACGUGACCCACAGCCGCAUGCAGAUCUGUGGCCAGUGUGGGAAGCGCUUCCUGCUGGAGAGCGAGCUGCAGCUGCACAGGCAGACCGACUGUGAACGCAACAUUCAGUGCAUGACGUGUGGCAAAGCCUUCAAGAAGCUGUGGUCUCUUCACGAACACAACAAGAUAGUGCACGGCUACGCGGAGAAGAAGUUCUCCUGUGAGAUCUGCGAGAAGAAGUUUCACACCAUGGCGCAUGUGCGCAAGCACAUGGUU
rnacentral:lncRNA from 1 species